GACGAACGCUGGCGGCGUGCUUAACACAUGCCAGUCGAACGGAAAGGCCCUGCUUUUGUGGGGUGCUCGAGUGGCGAACGGGUGAGUAACACGUUAGUAACCUGCCCUUGACUUUGGGAUAACUUCAGGAAACUGGGGCUAAUACCGGAUAGGAGCUCCUGCUGCAUGGUGGGGGUUGGAAAGUUUCGGCGGUUGGGGAUGGACUCGCGGCUUAUCAGCUUGUUGGUGGGGUAGUGGCUUACCAAGGCUUUGACGGGUAGCCGGCCUGAGAGGGUGACCGGGCAGAUGGGGACAGAGAUACGGCCAAGAGUUCUACGGGAGACAGCAGUGGGGAAUAUUGCAGAAUGGGCGGAAGCCUGAGGCAGCAACGCCGCGUGAGGGAUGACGGCCGUCGGGAUGUAAACCGCUUUCGACUGUGACGAAGCGUGAGUGACGGUAAUGGGUAAAGAAGCACCGGCUAACUACGUG
rnacentral:rRNA from 1 species